rnacentral:lncRNA from 1 species
CUGCAGAGCAAGAAUUUAAUUGCAAGCUCUUGACCUCUAUACCAGAUUACCACUCCAUAUCAUAAUGAAAGCUUUGUUUGUUGCUUAACUUCAUCAUGAUUUGAAGGUGAAAGAGGGUCAACUUUACAGUCAGUUUCACAAAGAAAAGUCUGCCCCUUAUAGUCUCUUAGUGAGCCAUUCUCUGUCCUGAACUGUGCCUUUUUUUAUAGGUGAUAAGAAAGUUUUUCGGAAUAGAUUGCUAACGGGUUUGAAGUCUUUCAAAGGAGGAAAGGUUGAUAUCGGUAACCUGAAGACGAUUCUUGGGAACAUGGGGAUCAAGCUCAAAAAUAAGGAACUUCAAAGUGUGAUACAAAAUCAACCUGUUGAUGCUAAUGGAAAUGUUCCUCUGAAAAAGGUGAUGGAUGAUGUGAAAGCAAUUAUAGGAGAAAAACUUAAUGUGGAAAAUCUAAAAAAUAUUCUCGAAGGCCUUGGAAUAGAAUUCACACCUAAAGAAUACUUGGAACUGGUACAAAAUCUGCAAAUUGAUGGUGAGCACUUCAAAUACUACUGGACCUUUUGAAGAAGUUUAGCCCUAUGUACUUAAGACAACCUAACAAAAAAAAAAAGAAAAAAGAUACCUGUUGGAUAUUCUAGUUUAAAAAAUAAAAAUGGCGGCCGGGCGCAGUGGCUCACGCCAGUAAUCCCAGCACUUUGGAAGGCCGAGGCGGGCAGAUCACGAGGUCAGGAGAUCGGGACCAACCUGGCUAACACGGUGAAACACCGUCUCUACUAAAAAUACAAAAACCUAGCUGGGCAUGGUAGCACACGCCUGUAGUCCUAGCUACUCGGAAGGCUGAGGCAGGAGAAUGGAGUGAACCUGGGAGGCAGAGCUUGCAGUGAGCGGAGAUGUGCCACUGCACUCCAGUCUGGGCGACAGAGCGAGACUCUGUCUCAAAAAAAUAAUAAUAAAAUAAAUAAAUAAAAAUGACAGUGUAAGAAAUUUUAGCAUGACCUUGUUCUUCCUUUGAGAAGUUCUUUCUUUGAGAGUCAGCAACUCUGUUUUCUUGAAAUCUUGC